UGGCGCCGGUGCGGUCCUGACUCGGUCAAGUCUGAGUCAGUUCUUGUUGCCUUGAGAGUUUGGUUUUGCAGAGGGUGGUUUUGUGCAGGUGACAGCUUCGGCCCGCCUUCCACACAUGAAUUCUUGAUAACUUUCCAGAGCCAGGUGAAAAGAGGCCAGUGUUAUACUAGGCGAAACCACUUGGAGAUAUGCCAGCAGAAUACUUUAGUGCCUUAAGUGGUACAUUCACACUCAAGUGGAAUAGAACUGUGAGGACCCUUUGGCAAGAAGUAACGUAGAUUCUCUUCCCUGGGAUGAUACUGAGAUCAUUGCCCUCAAACCCAGUCUUCCAUAUUCUAAGAGGACACUGUCAAUGACUCAGAUAGUGGGAUUCUGUUGGGGCUCUUUGUGUUUCCUGUAUGGAUUAGAUGAAGAUGGAAGGUUCUUUGGAGAAAUUACUUGAGAAGA